rnacentral:sRNA from 1 species
GCGUCCUUUUUCAUUUGUCUGCUUCUCGCUCCCUUCCAGGUUCUGUUCCCUCUUCCUCCCUCUUCCCUGGACCUGUUUCUCGCUGUCCCUGUCUUUUAUCCUUCUCACCGGCCUCUUUUUUGCUCACCCUGUUUCUCACUGGCCUCCCCUCCGCCUUUCUCACCCCUCUGUCCUUUUGAGCUCUUUUUCGCUCUCUGUCUCUUCGUUUGCCUUUUGCAGUCUCAAACUCUUUCAUCUUCCCAUUCGCUGUCUGUAUUUCUCCAUAACUAUAUCUUUCUUCCUCUGUCUCUGCCCAUCCACGUUUUUUCUCUUUCCCUCUCUCUCUUUGGGGACCCUCUCCCAUGCUCCCCUGCCCCAUCCCCCUUUCCCUUUCCCAUCUUCUCAUCCCUCCAUUCCCAUCUUUCCCCAGCAAUUACCAGCUCUGGCUGGGUCGCCACAACUUGUUUGACGAUGAAAACACAGCCCAGUUUGUUCAUGUCAGUGAGAGCUUCCCACACCCUGGCUUCAACGUGAGCCUCCUGGAGAACCACACCCGCCAAGCAGACGAGGACUACAGCCACGACCUCAUGCUGCUCCGCCUGACAGAGCCUGCCGAUAUCACAGACGCUGUGAAGGUCGUGGAGUUGCCCACCCAGGAACCCGAAGUGGGGAGCACCUGUUUGGCCUCCGGCUGGGGCAGCAUCGAACCAGAGAAUUUCUCAUUUCCAGAUGAUCUCCAGUGUGUGGACCUCGAAAUCCUGCCUAAUGAUGAGUGUGAAAAAGCCCAUGUCCAGAAGGUGACAGAGUGCAUGCUGUGUGUCGGACACCUGGAAGGUGGCAAAGACACCUGUGUGGGUGAUUCAGGGGGCCCGCUGAUGUGUGAUGGUGUGCUCCAAGGUGUCACAUCAUGGGGCUACGUCCCUUGUGGCACCC